UACGUAGGGUGCGAGCGUUGUCCGGAAUUACUGGGCGUAAAGAGCUCGUAGGUGGUUUGUCGCGUUGUCCGUGAAAACUCACAACUCAAUUGUGGGCGUGCGGGCGAUACGGGCAGACUGGAGUACUGCAGGGGAGACUGGAAUUCCUGGUGUAGCGGUGGAAUGCGCAGAUAUCAGGAGGAACACCGGUGGCGAAGGCGGGUCUCUGGGACGUUACUGACGCUGAGACGCGAAAGCGUGGGAGCAAAGCGGG
rnacentral:rRNA from 1 species